AACUACGUGCCAGCAGCCGCGGUAAUACGUAGGGGGCAAGCGUUAUCCGGAUUUACUGGGUGUAAAGGGGGCGCAGACGGCAGCGCAAGCCAGGAGUGAAAGCCCGGGGCCCAACCCCGGGACUGCUCUUGGAACUGCGCGGCUGGAGUGCAGGAGGGGCAGGCGGAAUUCCUGGUGUAGCGGUGAAAUGCGUAGAUAUCAGGAGGAACACCGGUGGCGAAGGCGGCCUGCUGGACUGCGACUGACGUUGAGGCCCGAAAGCGUGGGGAGCAAACAGGAUUAGAUACCCUGGUAGGCCCACCAAG
rnacentral:rRNA from 1 species